rnacentral:tRNA from 1 species
GCCUCCAUAGCUCAGGGGAUAGAGCACCGCUCUCCUAAAGCGGGUGUCGCAGGUUCGAAUCCUGCUGGGGGCACCA